ensembl:lncRNA
GUCCUCCUGGUGAAUAUUUUUUCUCCUAAUUUCUAAUUGGAAUUUCUCAUUUUGCAGCUUGUGCAUCUUGCCUCUUAUCCUAUCUUUGAGAAUAGUCUGUUUCUGCCUUCUCUACAAAAUUCUACUAGUUUGUUGAAGACAGCAAGAAGACUCAGCAAUCUCUUCUUAAGAUUGCAUAAGCUUGGCUGACAACCUCACUUUGUACAUCAUGUCCUCCUGACCCCUGCUGAGGUCUAGGAAGAGCAAGGGUAUUUUUGGUAGGAAGGAGGCUAAGGACAAAUGCUCUGCAUCAGAAGCAAGUCUCUGGACUCUUCUGAAUGAAGUCUGGUUGCAAGCUGAGUAUGGGGAAUUUUCCAUCUGGACAGAAUGCAGCUAAAUGUGCAGCGAAGUGUUCUGGGAGAUUGAUGCUGCACUGAGGAGCCUGAGGGAUGGAGACUACAACCGAGGGGGAUCAGUAAGAUAAAAUCUGUCAGUAAAGCUCUGAUAUGCCCAGACGAAUGAAGGAUGGAUCAACCAGGUCAAAAAACAGUAAAAGUUAUGCAACCUCUGAAAGCUGUAACGUGCUGAUUCUCUCUUUGGAGGAACUGUACCCAGCUGCAUGAUAUACAAUAUGGUUGCUCGUUUAUAGAGCUUUUCUGCCAAGACUGUAAAGUACCAUUGUGAAUACCAAGUGGUGUUUGUGUGUAAUCUUAACAUAACAUAAAGCACAGCUUUAUUGGGGUCCCUCAUCAGCUCUUUGCUGGCCAUGGUAUAAGCCGGUACAGAAUUGGAAACUGCACUGUGUGAAGUUUAUCCAUGUUUCUACUGAUAUUUAGGGAGGGCCAUCUCCGCAGCAAUUUGGUUAAAGUAAGACAUGCUCUUUUAUUUUGUAUGAGUACCUGAAACCCUCUCCUAUAAGCUCAUAAAAUGUGAUUGCAUACAAGAUGUUGAUGGCCUAGGGGAAGCUCUGAACAACUGGGAGUCAUUACCACGAUUUUGCUGCAAAAAUGAUCCAUGAUCUGCUGUGUUUUCCAACGCUCUUCUCAGAAAGACCAAAGGAACUGCAAGCUUCAGAG